rnacentral:lncRNA from 1 species
AGAAUAUAUAAGUGAAAUAUGCUAUAGAAAAUUAAGCACAGUCUAACAUCUGCAACCAGAUAUCUAUUACCAUUAUAUGCAAUAGUUUUAAACGAAUAAAACAGAAUAAAAAACAACUAAAUAAGCAAUAGCCCAAAGUAAAUAUUGGCCAUGAUUAGCCUGUCAUUGGCCCAACAAGGCCAAUAUUUUCUCCAUUUUCACUUGCAAAAGAUCAGCAAACAACCAAUUGGCACUAAACAACAAUCAGAACAACCAACAGAACAAGCAGAACAACAACCAAUGGCAAUUGAAACAUAAUUUCUUUCAGUUGAUUGAUUAUAUAUAAUUUCCUAUAUUCAGUUCUUUAGUUGACUCUCAAGACUUUCGAAAACUGUUUUGGCGUACACCUAAAAUCAAUAAAUAAAAGAAGUAACUAUCACGGACGAGCCAAAGGAAUCGUAUUUCUAAACUCAAAACAGCUUCAGGGACCAACUAAAAAAAGAAAGGAUAAAUGAUUUAAAACAAGAAAUGAAAAAUAUAACAACAAGUAAUAAAGAACAACUGGUAAAUUAACUAAAAUGUAAAGACAUGGC